rnacentral:rRNA from 1 species
ACGCUGGCGGCAGGCCUAACACAUGCAAGUCGAGCGGUAGAGAGAAGCUUGCUUCUCUUGAGAGCGGCGGACGGGUGAGUAAUGCCUAGGAAUCUGCCUGGUAGUGGGGGAUAACGUUCGGAAACGGACGCUAAUACCGCAUACGUCCUACGGGAGAAAGCAGGGGACCUUCGGGCCUUGCGCUAUCAGAUGAGCCUAGGUCGGAUUAGCUAGUUGGUGGGGUAAUGGCUCACCAAGGCGACGAUCCGUAACUGGUCUGAGAGGAUGAUCAGUCACACUGGAACUGAGACACGGUCCAGACUCCUACGGGAGGCAGCAGUGGGGAAUAUUGGACAAUGGGCGAAAGCCUGAUCCAGCCAUGCCGCGUGUGUGAAGAAGGUCUUCGGAUUGUAAAGCACUUUAAGUUGGGAGGAAGGGUUGUAGAUUAAUACUCUGCAAUUUUGACGUUACCGACAGAAUAAGCACCGGCUAACUCUGUGCCAGCAGCCGCGGUAAUACAGAGGGUGCAAGCGUUAAUCGGAAUUACUGGGCGUAAAGCGCGCGUAGGUGGUUAGUUAAGUUGGAUGUGAAAUCCCCGGGCUCAACCUGGGAACUGCAUUCAAAACUGACUGACUAGAGUAUGGUAGAGGGUGGUGGAAUUUCCUGUGUAGCGGUGAAAUGCGUAGAUAUAGGAAGGAACACCAGUGGCGAAGGCGACCACCUGGACUGAUACUGACACUGAGGUGCGAAAGCGUGGGGAGCAAACAGGAUUAGAUA